rnacentral:rRNA from 1 species
UAGCUAGUUGGUGAGGUAACGGCUUACCAAGGCGACGAUCUGUAGCGGGUCUGAGAGGAUGAUCCGCCACACUGGAACUGAGACACGGUCCAGACUCCUACGGGAGGCAGCAGUGGGGAAUUUUGGACAAUGGGGGCAACCCUGAUCCAGCCAUGCCGCGUGAGUGAAGAAGGCCUUCGGGUUGUAAAGCUCUUUCGGCCGGGAAGAAAUCGCAUGGGCCAAUACCCUGUGUGGAUGACGGUACCGGAAUAAGAAGCACCGGCUAACUACGUGCCAGCAGCCGCGGUAAUACGUAGGGUGCGAGCGUUAAUCGGAAUUACUGGGCGUAAAGCGUGCGCAGGCGGUUUUGUAAGACAGGCGUGAAAUCCCCGGGCUCAACCUGGGAACUGCGUUUGUGACUGCAAGGCUAGAGUACGGCAGAGGGGGGUGGAAUUCCACGUGUAGCAGUGAAAUGCGUAGAGAUGUGGAGGAACACCAAUGGCGAAGGCAGCCCCCUGGGUCGAUACUGACGCUCAUGCACGAAAGCGUGGGUAGCAAACAGGAUUAGAUACCCUGGUAGUCCACGCCCUAAACUAUGUCAACUAGGUGUUGGGUGGGUAAAACCAUUUAGUACCGUAGCUAACGCGUGAAGUUGACCGCCUGGGGAGUACGGCCGCAAGGUUAAAACUCAAAGGAAUUGACGGGGACCCGCACAAGCGGUGGAUGAUGUGGAUUAAUUCGAUGCAACGCGAAAAACCUUACCUACCCUUGACAUGCCAGGAACUUGCCAGAGAUGGCUUGGUGCCCGAAAGGGAGCCUGGACACAGGUGCUGCAUGGCUGUCGUCAGCUCGUGUCGUGAGAUGUUGGGUUAAGUCCCGCAACGAGCGCAACCCUUGUCGUUAAUUGCCAUCAUUUAGUUGGGCACUUUAGCGAGACUGCCGGUGACAAACCGGAGGAAGGUGGGGAUGACGUCAAGUCCUCAUGGCCCUUAUGGGUAGGGCUUCACACGUCAUACAAUGGUCGGUACAGAGGGUCGCCAAGCCGCGAGGUGGAGCCAAUCCCAGAAAGCCGAUCGUAGUCCGGAUUGCAGGCUGCAACUCGCCUGCAUGAAGUCGGAAUCGCUAGUAAUCGUGGAUCAGCAUGUCACGGUGAAUACGUUCCCGGGUCUUGUACACACCGCCCGUCACACCAUGGGAGCGGGUUCCGCCAGAAGUAGGUAGCCUAACCGCAAGGAGGGCGCUUACCACGGCGGGGUUCGUGACUGGGGUGAAGUCGUAACAAGGUAGCCGUAGGGGAACCUGCGGCUG